UUUAUGCAUACGUUUAUGCGGCUAUGCAAGUUGCGUGGAUAUAUCUUUACGGUUAUUGUUGCGGAAUUUUGUAUGCGAUAGCCCUUAUUGUCCGCUCUUUAUUGUGUUUCCAGUUAGAGAGUCUAUAAUUAGAGUGGCGCCGUACGAGAGAUGACGUCAUAUUUUAGCGAAAUUCUGCGAGAGAGAAAGAGAUAUACGGUCUCAGUCUAUCCAACAGACUGUCAGUUUUAGGGUUAGGUGCAACAAUAUUGAACAUAGAUACGUAAAGAAAUAUGGUUGGAUGUACAAUACCGUUUUAUAACAAUUCAUUAAAAAAAGGAUAUAUUAUGAAAAUAAUUCCGAAAAACAGAACGCCGAAUGAAUUGGUUAGAGUAUAAAUGGCAAAUAUAAAAAUUGGACACCGUCAAAAAAUUCAUCUGUAUGUGAGAUGCAUUUUGUUCCUAAAAUGUAGAAACAGAGAAUGGAUAAUAAACUAGCGCAUUUAAUAGCGCAAAUAAUGUGCAAUAAA